GACGUAGGGGGCGAGCGUUGUCCGGAUUCAUUGGGCGUAAAGAGCGCGUAGGCGGCCCGGAAAGUGGGGUGUGAAAACCCGAGGCUCAACCUCGGGCGUGCAUUCCAAACUCCCGGGCUCGAGGCAGGUAGGGGAGAUCGGAAUUCCUGGUGUAGCGGUGAAAUGCGCAGAUAUCAGGAGGAACACCGGUGGCGAAGGCGGAUC
rnacentral:rRNA from 1 species